GUGCUUGCUUUGGCAGCACAUAUACUAAAAUUGGAACGAUACAAAGAAGAUUAGCAUGGCCCCUGCACAAGGAUGACAUGCAAAUUCAUGAAGCAUUCCAUAUUUUU
ensembl:snRNA RNU6-1145P RNA, U6 small nuclear 1145, pseudogene